rnacentral:rRNA from 1 species
AUGAACGCUGGCGGCAUGCCUAAGACAUGCAAGUCGAACGAGGUGGCCCAUAUUGAUGGAGUGCUUGCACAAAAUUAAAAUGGAUUCCACCUAGUGGCAGACGGGUGAGUAACACGUGGGUGACCUACCUUAAGCUGGGGAUAACAGUUGGAAACGAUUGCUAAUACCGAAUGAGAUAUAAUUGUCGUGAUUAUAUUGAAAGGAGCUUCAAGCUCACUUAAAGAUGGGCCUGCGGCGUAUUAACUAGUUGGUGGGGUAAUGGCCUACCAAGGUGACGAUGCGUAGCCGAACUGAGAGGUUGAUCGGCCACACUGGGACUGAGACACGGCCCAGACUCCUACGGGAGACAGCAGUUAGGGAUAUUCGUCAAUGGGGGAAACCCUGAACGAGCAAUGCCGCGUGAAGUGAUGAAGGUCUUUGGAUUGUAAAACUCUGUUGUAUGGAAAAAAUGACUAGGUUAGGAAAUGAACUUAGUGUGAUGGUACCAUACCAGAAAGCCCCGGCUAACUACGUGCCAGCCGCGGC